AAGUUCUUUGGAGCUGUCGAAAUGUCAAGGAGGUUCACCGACCCCAGAUUCUAUAUUGAAUUGAGCGGUGCUGCCUCUUGAAACCCAAUUUCGAGUUACACAGGAAAAGAGAAGAUCGCGAGAAGCGCAAGAAGUGAGCCGGGUGGAU
ensembl:ncRNA F49E10.18 ncRNA